rnacentral:rRNA from 1 species
AGUAGUUUGAUCCUGGCUCAAGAACGACGCUGGCGGCAGGCUUAACACAUGCAAGUCGAACGGUUGUAGCAAUACAGCAGUGGCAGACGGGUGAGUAACACGUGGGAACCUUCCUAGGGGUACGGAACAACUCAGGGAAACUUGAGCUAAUACCGUAUACGUCCGUGAGGAGAAAGAUUUAUCGCCCUUAGACGGGCCCGCGUCGGAUUAGCUAGUUGGUGGGGUAACGGCCUACCAAGGCGACGAUCCGUAGCUGAUCUUAGAGGAUGAUCAGCCACACUGGGACUGAGACACGGCCCAGACUCCUACGGGAGGCAGCAGUGGGGAAUCUUGGACAAUGGGCGCAAGCCUGAUCCAGCCAUGCCGCGUGAGUGAAGAAGGUCUUCGGAUUGUAAAGCUCUUUUGCCAGGGACGAUAAUGACGGUACCUGGAGAAUAAGCCCCGGCAAACUUCGUG